CUGCGUACCUUUUGUAUAAUGGGUCAGCGACUUAUAUUCUGUAGCAAGGUUAACCGAAUAGGGGAGCCGGAGGGAAACCGAGUCUUAAUUGGGCGUUAAGUUGCAGGGUAUAGACCCGAAACCCGGUGAUCUAGCCAUGGGCAGGUUGAAGGUUGGGUAACACUAACUGGAGGACCGAACCGACUAAUGUUGAAAAAUUAGCGGAUGACCUGUGGCUGGGGGUGAAAGGCCAAUCAAACCGGGAGAUAGCUGGUUCUCCCCGAAAGCUAUUUAGGUAGCGCCUCGUGAAUUCAUCUCCGGGGGUAGAGCACUGUUUCGGCUAGGGGGCCAUCCCGGCUUACCAACCCGAUGCAAACUGCGAAUACCGGAGAAUGUUAUCACGGGAGACACACGGCGGGUGCUAACGUCCGUCGUGAAGAGGGAAACAACCCAGACCGCCAGCUAAGGUCCCAAAGUCAUGGUUAAGUGGGAAACGAUGUGGGAAGGCCCAGACAGCCAGGAUGUUGGCUUAGAAGCAGCCAUCAUUUAAAGAAAGCGUAAUAGCUCACUGGUCGAGUCGGCCUGCGCGGAAGAUGUAACGGGGCUAAACCAUGCACCGAAGCUGCGGCAGCGAACGUAUCACCCAAGACAACUUUACGGAGUUGACGAUUGACGGAGCGAAGCGACGUCAAAGCGUUCAUUAAAGUCGAGUUGGCUUAGGGAUACGUUCGUUGGGUAGGGGAGCGUUCUGUAAGCCUGUGAAGGUGUGUCGUGAGGCAUGCUGGAGGUAUCAGAAGUGCGAAUGCUGACAUAAGUAACGAUAAAGCGGGUGAAAAGCCCGCUCGCCGGAAGACCAAGGGUUCCUGUCCAACGUUAAUCGGGGCAGGGUGAGUCGACCCCUAAGGCGAGGCCGAAAGGCGUAGUCGAUGGGAAACGGGUUAAUAUUCCCGUACUUGGUGUUACUGCGAAGGGGGGACGGAGAAGGCUAUGUUGGCCGGGCGACGGUUGUCCCGGUUUAAGCGUGUAGGUGUGUGUUCCAGGUAAAUCCGGUUCACUUUAACACUGAGGCGUGACGACGAGGCACUACGGUGCUGAAGCAACAAAUGCCCUGCUUCCAGGAAAAGCCUCUAAGCAUCAGGUAACAC
rnacentral:rRNA from 1 species